CCUUGCCCGGCCGCUGCUCCAUCCCGGCUGCCAUCCGCGUCGUCCCGGCCGUCGGUUGCACCGUCCUCCCCGCGCCACCGCUCCGUCCCUGGUGGAUCCUCCCCUGUCCCUCUCUCCUUCAUCUACGGCGGGCCCCUCCAUCCUCGGCGCCUCCUCCCCCAUCCUCGACUCCUCGCAUCGAUCGACUUCCCCCUUCCUUUCCCUGCAGCGCAAAUCGACUUCGAUUCCUCAUGGAUUACCUCGAUCAGAUUUGCAGAAAUUCAAUCAGCCAUGACAAAUUGUUCCUCAAUGCGACUUUAGGUCCCAGCUGCUCGCCACCUCAGAACUAGAGGCCCGGUGUCCACAGGCGUUUUCAGGUCUUUUGCAGCUGCGUGGCACCCCGUCGAGGACAAGCUCCAGGUUCUGCCCUGUUUACAUUUAUGUAUGCUUCUUUUCUUUCUAUCAUUAUCGGUACAGCUGACUAUGCAUGAUUUAUGUUGGAUUGAGAGAUGUAGCUCUGCAAGCUCAUUCCGGAAUAUUCAAAAUGAGAUUGAAACAAGAAGAUGGAGGCUUCUGACCACUGUUGGCACAACAAUAUCGCUAUCACCUAUAGAAUUGUUGUGCUGGCCAUAAAAAUGUCUCCAAAUAAAAACUUAGUUGAAGUAGACAUGAGUCCAUGACGACCACCGGCUCCUUUACAUGGGUAAGGCAACACAAUUCCAAAUAAUUUGAUUGAGCUUUCUUUUCAAGUUAAUAGUUUCACAGGCUAGAUGAUCUCUAUGGAUUUAAUCCCAUGGUACAUUUGUUGUUUCAUAAACAUAGUACAAAGCUUUCUUCUGCUAUGUUAGUUCUGACAACAUCGAAUGGGUAAGCAAUUACUGAAUGCAACUGUUACAAUUAGUACACAAAGCUAGCAAGUCGAAUUGCUGGGCACUACACUGAAUUUCGCUAUCUGAAAUACUUCUUUUACAAAAGUAUACCUGUUUAGGGAAAAAUAAAGAAACAUAGGAUACAUGCUCUGUUUAUGUUGAUGUUUGCAGAGUUAUUUUGGUUUCUUAAUUUUUCCCUAAACAUUUCAUUGUUUUACACCAUAGCUUUUCAUUAUAACAUAUAUGUGAGUCCUGAAUACAUGGUUAGAAAACAAUGAUAUCCUUAUGCUUACAAUGUUGUUUUCUUAACUUAUGAUGUGCAUAUCUGGUCAUUUUCUUUGUGCUUAUCCCAAUGCUUACAAUUUAUAAAUGUUCCUCUGAAACUGCCUUUUCCUAAAGUAUAUUGAUGCAUAAUUAUGAGACAAAACUAGCCUGGUUGAGUGUUUAUUUUGACUUUUGAAGAUCCUUUGGCCCUGAUGAAAUACAAGAAUGGGAGGAGCUUUAGAUGCCACUGGGGCAUGUCCAUUUGAAUGAAGGUCCUGAUGUGGUGGUUUGGGCUUUGGAAAAAUUGGGGAAAUACACUCGCCGUCACCGUUAGCUAGAGCAAGAAGAUGACCCUGCAGCCUUAGAUCUUCAAAUCAAUGGAUUAUAUUAAAUGAUGACGAUACCCUUUCACUUAGGCUUGGUGUACCAUCGACCAUGGAAUGAUUUCCUCUCAGUCCACAAACCUGGGGACCGAGGUCACAAUACAGUUCCUCUAUUGCCCCAAUCUUGAGUGCAGUUUCACUGGAUGGCAAGGAGCGCAGAGCAACAACAUCUGGGCAACAGUGGGCCGCGUAGCCAAUUACUUUUGGAUAUGAUGUACAUCAAUCAAGCUUGUGUAAAUCUAUUUACUUCCUGCUUGUUGCAGUUUUCAUGGUGACUGCAGUAUUUUGAGCACAGAAAUUAUUGUCGUCUGUAGAACAAAAACAUGUUCGAUUACUUCUAUUUGGAAUACUGGUGAGAUGUUUUGGCCUUGGCAGGUGUGUAUGGAUUGAUUUUUGUUCGUUA